AGGGCACCACCAGGAGUGGAGCCUGCGGCUUAAUUUGACUCAACACGGGAAAACUCACCCGGCCCGGACACUGGAAGGAUUGACAGAUUGAGAGCUCUUUCUUGAUUCAGUGGGCGGUGGUGCAUGGCCGUUCUUAGUUGGUGGAGUGAUUUGUCUGGUUAAUUCCGAUAACGAACGAGACUCUAGCCUACUAAAUAGAUCGUCGGCUUACAAACGCCGGCGAGACUUCUUAGAGGGACAGGCGGUGAUUCAACCGCACGAAACAGAGCAAUAACAGGUCUGUGAUGCCCUUAGAUGUCCGGGGCCGCACGCGCGCUACACUGAAGUGAUCAGCGUGCUUUUUCAACCUACUCUGUCAAGAGUGGGGAACCCAAUGAACCUUCUUCGUGAUUGGGAUAGGGGAUUGUAAUUAUUCCCCUUGAACGAGGAAUUCCCAGUAAGCGCGAGUCAUAAGCUCGCGUUGAUUACGUCCCUGCCCUUUGUACACACCGCCCGUCGCUACUACCGAUUGAAUGUUUU
rnacentral:rRNA from 1 species